GCCCUUAUAGCUCAGUGGUAGAGCGCAUCACUCGUAAAUUUGGCUUACGUAAUCGACAUGAUGAGGUCCAUCGUUCAAUCCGGUGUGAGGGCA
rnacentral:tRNA from 1 species